rnacentral:tmRNA from 1 species
GGGGGUGAACCGGGUUCGACCGGGCUAGUGAAUAGUAAGUUGCGUGUCGUUGUUGGUCAGCGGGCAACGUUAAAAGCCGACUAAUAAAUUCAAAUGCCGAACCAAAAUUGGCAUUGGCUGCUUAAGAACAAGCAACCCCGAAUCUACACUUUCGCCGAAGGAGUGUAACAUUCGGACGACCAUUCGGACCGCUCUCCGUCCAUGUCGAAUACGGCGGGAGUUAAACAAGUUUUCGGACCGUCUUCAAAAGACCGUCGCCGAUAAGGGCUGGCGAAGACUAAAACUCAAAGAAUCGGACAUGCACGUAGACGCUUAUUAGGAUCGGUUUCGGGACGCGGGUUCAAUUCCCGCCGCCUCCA